rnacentral:rRNA from 1 species
UGCGUAGGGUGCGAGCGUUGUCCGGAAUUAUUGGGCGUAAAGAGCUCGUAGGCGGUGUGUCACGUCGGCCGUGAAAACCUGCAGCUUAACUGUGGGCGUGCGGUCGAUACGGGCAUCACUGGAGUUCGGCAGGGGAGACUGGAAUUCCUGGUGUAGCGGUGAAAUGCGCAGAUAUCAGGAGGAACACCGGUGGCGAAGGCGGGUCUCUGGGCCGAUACUGACGCUGAGGAGCGAAAGCGUGGGGAGCAAACAGG